rnacentral:tRNA from 1 species
UAAGAUUUUAAGUUAAUUAAACUAAUAGCCUUCAAAGCUAUAAAAAAAAGUAAAAAUCCUCUUAAAUCUU